rnacentral:rRNA from 1 species
UACGUAGGUGGCAAGCGUUAUCCGGAAUUAUUGGGCGUAAAGCGCGCGCAGGUGGUUUCUUAAGUCUGAUGUGAAAGCCCCACGGCUCAACCGUGGAGGGUCAUUGGAAACUGGGAGACUUGAGUGCAGAAGAGGAAAGUGGAAAUUCCAUGUGUAGCGGUGAAAUGCGUAGAGAUAUGGAGGAACACCAGUGGCGAAGGCGACUUUCUGGUCUGUAACUGACACUGAGGCGCGAAAGCGUGGGAGCAAACAGG